rnacentral:lncRNA from 1 species
CGCACUCUCUGCACUUGGUUGGUCCCCGCAGUUUCCUGAGUCGAUGGGUCUGUGCAGCGCUGGAGAGGAGAGCGUUCCUGAACUGCUGCUGGGAUGUGCCAUUUUCAUUUUCAGAAGUUUGCAGUGAAUCUCUCUCUUCAAAGUCAUCGGAGGAGGACAUGGUGCCCGUGGACGAAGCUUUCAGCAGUUUCCUGGUGGAGUUUCCUUGAGAAAAGAGAAAACACGAAGAGCUGUUCCCAUCCUUGUGGUCUCCUUUGGGGUUUGGUGUCUGCUCCACUCCCAUCCUUGUUGGCUUUUUAAGAGAGGGCAUCUUGUGCUGCUCUCACCUGGACUGGAGCUGGGAGAGUCCAAGGAUCGUGACUCACAGCUCCCACUGAGGCUCUCCGUGUCGCUGCAGAGGGAUUUGUUCACACCUGCCGAAGGUGGAUAUGGUGACCAAACAUCCCCAGCAAACCUUGGGGUAACGGCUAAGAAUUGCAACCGGAUAACAGCAGCAUCUAAAUUAAAC